CAACGCGUUUUUGGCUUAGUGGUUGUGGAGCACAUGAAAACUCCAUAGUUAAGCAUGUUCAGGUGGGAGUAGUAAUAGGAUGGGUGACCUCCUGGGAAGUCUUCACCGGGGC
rnacentral:rRNA from 1 species